GUCCUUGUCACAAAUGAGCUGAAAUGAGCUCACAAAUGGAGAGAGAAGCUAGCCAACGUUGGAGGGAGACAAGAUGAAGUACAAAGGGAAGCACAAAUGAGCAGAAAUGAAGAAGUGAAGCUUUCCUGGUCCAACCAGGAAACCCUGUCCAGAAAAGGAAAGCUUGCCAAAACAAGACUCUUGAGCCAACCAAGAAUGGAGAUCGAAUUAAUGAAGUGACAUGGCAUGAGAGAAGCUUCUUGAAUACUCUAGAUGAUGACAUGGCAUAAAGGUGACACACAAAGGCCCAAGAACUCUCAAGAGGUUAUGGAUUUCGGCAAAUGGAUAAAGGCCCAUGGAAAUUAGGG
rnacentral:lncRNA from 1 species